GACAGGGCCGUCCCCGCACGCGCCCGUGGACGCGGCCUCUGCUCCCCAGCCCCGCCUCGCCCUGAGUCUCGGUUUAGGACCUGCUGGCAGGAUCCUGACGUCGUGGCUCGCGACAAGUGCCGCCCGAACAGGGACCUGAAAGUUGAUGAGGAUACGUAAUCCCGGACCCAGGUUGAAGGCAGCGACGGUGCUCCGGAGGACUGACCGCUGCGCCUGAUCCUCGCAGACGCUGAUCAACCACGGUGGAUCCCGGAGCAUUUUAUCAAACAGAUUAACGCAAGCCAUGAAAAGGACCAAAGACAACCCUCCGGUGUUAUUUCGUGGGAUGUUGUUACAGACUCUGUUAAUCCCUUGAAGAUAAAGAUUGUGAAGGCUCCCCCUAAGAGCUAAUUCUUCCUGCCUUUCCAUGGGCUAUUGCUCAGCUUUAGUUACCCAAUCUCCUCUUGACUUGUUUUUUCUCAUAUUGGUUAUUGUUUUAGAGAUUUGUAGGGGUAUAGGGCUUUUUAGUGAUUUUUAGUGAUGCUUUUUAGCAUCAGAAAGAUAAUUAUUCCCUAUCUAAUUGUAUUUUUGGGGUGAUAGUAUUUUAUCUGUCAUAUGGGGGACUACCUGUAUUGACUUGUUUUCCUAUAUUUUUUAGUUAGAUAAAUUGACCAAAUGGAAAAUAUCAAUAGAGGCUCGUGUUGUGUACACUCUUUCAGAAUUCUCUACAUAAUGGAU